GAGUUUGAUCCUGGCUCAGAUUGAACGCUGGCGGCAGGCCUAACACAUGCAAGUCGAGCGGUAACAGAUCUAGCUUGCUAGAUGCUGACGAGCGGCGGACGGGUGAGUAAUGCAUAGGAAUCUACCCGGUAGUGGGGGAUAACCUGGGGAAACCCAGGCUAAUACCGCAUACGUCCUACGGGAGAAAGGGGGCUCCGGCUCCCGCUAUCGGAUGAGCCUAUGUCGGAUUAGCUAGUUGGUGAGGUAAUGGCUCACCAAGGCAACGAUCCGUAGCUGGUCUGAGAGGAUGAUCAGCCACAUCGGGACUGAGACACGGCCCGAACUCCUACGGGAGGCAGCAGUGGGGAAUAUUGGACAAUGGGCGAAAGCCUGAUCCAGCCAUGCCGCGUGUGUGAAGAAGGCCUUCGGGUUGUAAAGCACUUUCAGCGAGGAAGAACGCCUAGUGGUUAAUACCCAUUAGGAAAGACAUCACUCGCAGAAGAAGCACCGGCUAACUCCGUGCCAGCAGCCGCGGUAAUACGGAGGGUGCAAGCGUUAAUCGGAAUUACUGGGCGUAAAGCGCGCGUAGGUGGCUUGAUAAGCCGGUUGUGAAAGCCCCGGGCUCAACCUGGGAACGGCAUCCGGAACUGUCAGGCUAGAGUGCAGGAGAGGAAGGUAGAAUUCCCGGUGUAGCGGUGAAAUGCGUAGAGAUCGGGAGGAAUACCAGUGGCGAAGGCGGCCUUCUGGACUGACACUGACACUGAGGUGCGAAAGCGUGGGUAGCAAACAGGAUUAGAUACCC
rnacentral:rRNA from 1 species